rnacentral:lncRNA from 1 species
CGUGCUCAACUCAAACAGUCCUGUGACUCCUCACUAGGACUACCCUGGCCAAGGUUUUGCUAAAUUGAAACACGACUGUACACAGCUCCUGAACUGGAGUGGUCAAUCCCAUCUUGACACACGCAUCGACAAGUCAAGUACUUGACUACACCCAGCAGCCUUCCGUCACUGAAUUAGAAAUUCAGGUAGUCCAGUGCCUAAGUGCAGUGAGUUGCUUGCAAGUCACUGUGGCGGUCUCAGGUCGGAGGGAUAGUUAUACCCAUAUCCCAUCGGAGCAAAUCUUGACAGCAGAAAAA